rnacentral:rRNA from 1 species
GACGAACGCUGGCGGCGUGCUUAACACAUGCAAGUCGAGCGGAAAGGCCCUUCGGGGUACUCGAGCGGCGAACGGGUGAGUAACACGUGAGUAAUCUGCCCUUGGCUUUGGGAUAACUACCGGAAACGGUGGCUAAUACCGGAUACGACAACCGUCUGCAUGGGCUGGUUGUGGAAAGUUUUUUCGGCCAGGGAUGUGCUCGCGGCCUAUCAGCUUGUUGGUGGGGUAAUGGCCUACCAAGGCUUCGACGGGUAGCCGGCCUGAGAGGGUGACCGGCCACACUGGGACUGAGACACGGCCCAGACUCCGACGGGGGGCAGCAGUGGGGAAUAUUGGACAAUGGGCGGGAGCCUGACCCGGCAACGCCGCGGGAGGGAGGACGGCCUUCGGGUUGUAAACCUCUUUCAGUACCGACGAAGCGCCGAUGAUGGUGGUGACGGUAGGUACAGAAGAAGCACCGGCCAACUACGUG